rnacentral:rRNA from 1 species
GACGAACGCUGGCGGUGUGCUUAACACAUGCAAGUCGAACGGUAAGGCCCUUUCGGGGGUCCACGAGUGGCGAACGGGUGAGUAACACGUGAGUAACCUGCCCUCAUCUCUGGGAUAACAGUCGGAAACGGUUGCUAAUACUGGAUAUGAGCUUGCAAGGCAUCUUGUGGGUUGGAAAGAUUUUUUUUGGUUGGGGAUGGACUCGCGGCCUAUCAGCUUGUUGGUGAGGUAGUGGCUCACCAAGGCUUCGACGGGUAGCCGGCCUGAGAGGGCGACCGGCCACAUUGGGACUGAGAUACGGCCCAAACUCCUACGGGAGGCAGCAGUGGGGAAUAUUGCACAAUGGACGGAAGUCUGAUGCAGCAACGCCGCGUGCGGGAUGACGGCCUUCGGGUUGUAAACCGCUUUCAAUUGUGACGAAGCUUUUUUGUGACGGUAGCAGGAGAAGAAGCACCGGCUAACUACGUG